rnacentral:rRNA from 1 species
UGGGGAAUAUUGCACAAUGGGCGCAAGCCUGAUGCAGCCAUGCCGCGUGUAUGAAGAAGGCUUUCGGGUUGUAAAGUACUUUCAGCGGGGAGGAAGGGAGUAAAGUUAAUACCUUUGCCCAUUGACGUUACCCGCAGAAGAAGCACCGGCUAACUCCGUGCCAGCAGCCGCGGUAAUACGGAGGGUGCAAGCGUUAAUCGGAAUUACUGGGCGUAAAGCGCACGCAGGCGGUUUGUUAAGUCAGAUGUGAAAUCCCCGGGCUCAACCUGGGAACUGCAGCUGAUACUGGCAAGCUUGAGUCUCGUAGAGGGGGGUAGGAUUCCAGGUGUAGCGGUGAAAUGCGUAGAGAUCUGGAGGAAUACCGGUGGCGAAGGCGGCCCCCUGGACGAAGACUGACGCUCAGGUGCGAAAGCGUGGGGAGCAAACAGG